GGGGACGGAGAAGGCUAUGUCAGCCGGGCGACGGUUGUCCCGGUUUAAGCAUGUAGGCGGAGGUUCCAGGUAAAUCCGGUACCUUUUAACGCUGAGGUGUGAUGACGAGGCACUACGGUGCUGAAGUGAUAAAUGCCCUGCUUCCAGGAAAAGCCUCUAAGCAUCAGGUAACACGAAAUCGUACCCCAAACCGACACAGGUGGUCAGGUAGAGAAUACCAAGGCGCUUGAGAGAACUCGGGUGAAGGAACUAGGCAAAAUGGUGCCGUAACUUCGGGAGAAGGCACGCUGAUGUGUAGGUGAAGCCCCUGCGGGUGGAGCUGAAAUCAGUCGAAGAUACCAGCUGGCUGCAACUGUUUAUUAAAAACACAGCACUGUGCAAACACGAAAGUGGACGUAUA
rnacentral:rRNA from 1 species